UGGCUGGUAGACUGUCUACAAGGGUCCAUCUCACCUGAUAGACUGUCUACAAGGGUCCAUCUCAACUGGUAGACUGUCUACAAGGGUCCAUCUCACCUGGCUGGUAGACUGUCUACAAGGUUCCAUCUCACCUGGCUGGUAGACUGUCUACAAGGUUCCAUCUCACCUGGCUGGUAGACUGUCUACAAGGUUCCAUCUCACCUGGCUGGUAGACUGUCUACAAGGUUCCAUCUCACCUGGCUGGUAGACUGUCUACAAGGUUCCAUCUCACCUGGCUGGUAGACUGUCUACAAGGUUCCAUCUCACCUGGCUGGUAGACUGUCUACAAGGUUCCAUCUCACCUGGCUGGUAGACUGUCUACAAGGGUCCAUCUCACCUGGCUGGUAGACUGUCUACAAGGUUCCAUCUCACCUGGCUGGUAGACUGUCUACAAGGUUCCAUCUCACCUGAUAGACUGUCUACAAGGGUCCAUCUCACCUGAUAGACUGUCUACAAGGUUCCAUCUCACCUGAUAGACUGUCUACAAGGGUCCAUCUCACCUGGUAGACUGUCUACAAGGUUCCAUCUCACCUGAUAGACUGUCUACAAGGGUCCAUCUCACCUGAUAGACUGUCUACAAGGUUCCAUCUCACCUGGUAGACUGUCUACAAGG